UUUGUUGCGGUGGCGGAAGCACAGGCCAGGGAGAGUCACACUCGCGGGAAAAAUGGCGGAAACGUGUUCAGUGUUCAUGCGACCUCCAGCAGCGGUUCAAAACAGUGCCUCCUAAGCCUUGCCCUGUCUUUGUGUGCAUGCGUGAGUAAAAACCUUGCGUGCAUCGCGCACUUUAGCGAGUUGCACAUCUCGGCAUUUUGUUAAAAUAGUUGUCUAGGUGUGUCACUAAUUGUGUAAGGCUGUGGGUUAAAAGAGGCAUGCAAGAUGGAAAACGAUACAGUGGAGUGCUCCACCUCUGGCCACAUCAAGCAAGUCACCAGCCAAGCAGUCACUGAAGAAUCCCAAGUCAAGGCUUUCCAUUGUAGUCACUGUGUGCUGAUCUUCAAAUCCAAGGUGUACCUUUUUGAACACCUCAACAAAGUGCAUGGCCUCAAUACAGAAACUUCUCUCAGAGAGGCUGGAUUAUGCCCUGGGACUGACAAAGCCAACACAGAGAACAGCAGCAGCAGUUCAGG
ensembl:lncRNA